rnacentral:rRNA from 1 species
AUUGAACGCUGGCGGAAUGCUUUACACAUGCAAGUCGAGCGGCAGCACGGGGUCAACCCUGGUGGCGAGCGGCGAACGGGUGAGUAAUACAUCGGAACAUGCCCAGUCGUGGGGGAUUACACUUCGAAAGAAGUGCUAAUACCGCAUACGUCCUGAUGUAGAAAGCGGGGGAUCGCAAGACCUCGCGCGUUUUUAGUGGCCUAUGUCAGAUUAGCUAGUUGGUGGGGUAAAUGCCUACCAAGGCAACGAUCUGUAGCUGGUCUGAGAGGAUGAUCAGCCACACUGGGACUGAGACACGGCCGAGACUCCUACGGGAGGAAGCAGUGGGGAAUUUUGGACAAUGGGGGAAACCCUGAUCCAGCAAUUCCGCGUGAGUGAAGAAGGACUUCGGGUUGUAAAGCUAUUAAGGCAGGAAGGAAACGGAGAGCUCUAACAUAGCAUGAUAAUGACGGUACCUGAAGAAGAAGCACCGGCUAACUACGUG